CCUCUACCCCAGACAGGGGCCAAACCUCCAUACCUCCUGCUCUGGGAAAGGUGGUACAGCACUUGUCUUCCUCCUCAUUUUUUCAAGACAGAGAAUAAAGCAGCAUUUUUCAAGACAGAGGAUAAACCAGCACAGCCAACAGCAUCUUCUCCACAGCCUUCACAGGGGAAGUAAUACCAGCCAAAUUCACAUCCAGUCUGAAGCCACUAGACAGUAUUUCCAGAGCUGAAUCAGAAACCAAGCAGCCUUUGGUGGACUACCAGGGGGAACUGUGUUACCUGAGAUGGGAGUUCUCUUUCCGCCCUACAGGUAAAAUCUUAAGGAAGUUCUUGGUGCAAUAAGGUUAGGUCUACUGUGGACACAAAAGGCAACUUGAUGGUAUUACACAAUUUCCCAUGCCCAAGGCUUGAUAUGGCCUUGUCUGCCUAGAUU